rnacentral:rRNA from 1 species
UUGACCUCGGAUCAGGUAGGGAUACCCGCUGAACUUAAGCAUAUCAAUAAGCGGAGGAAAAGAAACCAACAGGGAUUGCCUCAGUAACGGCGAGUGAAGCGGCAAUAGCUCAAAUUUGAAAUCUGGCACCCGCCCGAAUUGUAAUUUGUAGAGGAUGCUUCGGCUUACGUCUCGGUCUAAGUUCCUUGGAACAGGACGUCACAGAGGGUGAGAAUCCCGUUUGUGGCCGUGACUUCCGCCAUGUGAAGCUCCUUCGACGAGUCGAGUUGUUUGGGAAUGCAGCUCUAAAUGGGAGGUAUGUUUCUUCUAAAGCUAAAUACCGGCCAGAGACCGAUAGCGCACAAGUAGAGUGAUCGAAAGAUGAAAAGCACUUUGGAAAGAGAGUCAAACAGUACGUGAAAUUGUUGAAAGGGAAGCGCUUGCAACCAGACUUGCUCGUAGUUGCUCAACCGGUCCUCCGGCCGGUGCACUCUUCUACGGUCAGGCCAGCAUCAGUUCGGGUGGUUGGAUAAAGGCCUUGAGAAUGUGGCUCUCUUCGGGGAGUGUUAUAGCUCUUGGUGCAAUACAGCCUGCCUGGACUGAGGUCCGCGCUUCGGCUAGGAUGCUGGCGUAAUGGUUGUAAGCGGCCCGUCUUGAAACACGGACC